GCUGGUUCUUUGCGGUGCUGGCGUGGCAAAGGAACUUUAGUAGGCGAGGCAGUCUUCGCUCCACUUGGAUCAACUCCAGAAAUUAGGAACUGCAACAUGAGAAGAUGAUGUACUAUACUGUCAGAACACCCAGCAUACAUGUGGCACUGAAUCAUUCUGUAAAAAGAAAAUGGGCAUUACCUUGUCUUUUGCAAAUAAAGUUUUAUUUCUCUAAGUUUGUUCCAUCAAUUCUGUUUGGUCACCUGGGGGUGGGAUGGGUGGAUUUAUAACCUUCCAUCUUGAUGGAGUUCAGCAAGCCCCAGUGCUGGCAAUUUUGAGGGGCCUUGUGUCAUUUCUUGAUCACCUUCUGUAAAUAUCCUUUUGCCUAUGGAAUACCUAGACUGCAUCAUCAGGGGGGGCUUGCUGCGUUUAGAAGUCUCAUCCCUAGAAUACGCCAGGCCAGUGCUUGCUACAUCGUGGAGCUGGCAGGGCUGGGGCCAGGGGAGGAGUCUUGGGGCGUGGUGACUGGGGGUCCUCUGAGGUCUUCUGGAAGGACGUUGGGCUGGGCACUGGCAGCCUGAGCUUUGGAGAUUAAGGCACCUCUUCCCCCCUGCUGGCCCCAACAUUCCAAUAGUAAUGGCCUCACACAUUUCUUGUUCUAGAUUAAAUUGAACCUCCCAUGCCCCCAAAGCCUGGGCUAUCUUAAAGCAGCCUGUGCACUUGCCAUGGCCAGAGGCUGCUUGUGGCUGCUGUUAGUGUUGGUGCUACCCACUGGGAGCAAAGGGAUACCAUGUCUCGAGUCCAGCAGUCCCUUCUUGCCUCCGGAGGAGGGGAAGAUGCAGCCCCCACUGCCCAAGGUCAGCGCCUGCAUGGUGCAUUGUGCCACGCAGGUCCUGCCCAGAUUGGGAGCUGGCGUCGUCUCUGUGCUCUUUAACGAGGCUCGGGCAGAAGAGGAGCAGAAAUACUGCUGGCUGCAGAGACGUCGGCACUGCCGGAGCGGAGAGCGCCUCGCCAGGGUCUUUGUGCUGCUGGAUCUGAAGGAGCCCUCCGCCACUCCCUAUGAGCUCCUGCCCACCACGCCACCCCUGUCCGCACCAACCAGACGCCUGCGGCCCCGGAGGAAUGACGGAGCCCUGCUCAGCCUGUCGGGCUGUGGGCUCCUCUAUGAUGUCACCAGGCCCUUCCGGAGUGCCAGGAGAGAGGGCCAGUCCACGGAAGCGGAAUUCUGUGUUAAAGCUGUGUGCCCUGCCAGCCAGCCUUCCUGCCAGCCCCUUCAGGUGGCCCUGAGCUGCCCCCCUUUCCUCGCCACGCUCUGGGGCAGCCGGCCCAGCACCAAGGAUUCCUUCUCCAUUCAACCCAAGCCAUUACUCCCUGGACAGGUCUGAAUGGACCCCCUGGGCGUGGACUCUGGUGCACAGCCAAAGAGACUCCGGGCUGCCAGAGCUAGGCUGCAGCUCGUCCCACUCUGGGCUCGGGGCUAGUGAGGCAGCAGUGACUGACCUGAAUAAAUUGGCCACGUGGCUCCUCUUCGUGGGCUCC
rnacentral:lncRNA from 1 species